UGGGGAAUUUUGGACAAUGGGCGAAAGCCUGAUCCAGCAAUGCCGCGUGUGUGAAGAAGGCCUUCGGGUUGUAAAGCACUUUUGUCCGGAAAGAAAUCCUUGGCUCUAAUACAGUCGGGGGAUGACGGUACCGGAAGAAUAAGCACCGGCUAACUACGUGCCAGCAGCCGCGGUAAUACGUAGGGUGCAAGCGUUAAUCGGAAUUACUGGGCGUAAAGCGUGCGCAGGCGGUUUGCUAAGACCGAUGUGAAAUCCCCGGGCUCAACCUGGGAACUGCAUUGGUGACUGGCAGGCUAGAGUAUGGCAGAGGGGGGUAGAAUUCCACGUGUAGCAGUGAAAAUGCGUAGAGAUGUGGAGGAAUACCGAUGGCGAAGGCAGCCCCCUGGGCCAAAUACUGACGCUCAUGCACGAAAAGCGUGGGGAGCAAAACAGGAUUAGAUACCCUGGUAGUCCACGCCCUAAAACGAUGUCAACUAGUUGUUGGGGAUUCAUUUCCUUAGUAACGUAGCUAACGCGUGAAGUUGACCGCCUGGGGAGUACGGUCGCAAGAUUAAAAACUCAAAGGAAUUGACGGGGUCAUAGCUGUUUCCU
rnacentral:rRNA from 1 species